rnacentral:lncRNA from 1 species
AUGUGGAGUAGAAACGGUCACUGGUCCCAACAAACGAAACCGUCGCCAAAUAUGAAAGCUUCCAUGUCUAUGAUUCGAUAUACCGAUUAAAUAUUCCUCAAACACUUGAACCGGCUGAUGAAUGUUGGGAUCGCUACUUCAUUCCUCUCUCGUUAAUUAUGUCUGUGUUUGCUAAAAAAAAUGUCGCGCCACGCCACCAAGCAAUCACCGCCAACGCCGCCUGUAAUAUCGAACCGGUGUCACAGACCACCAAUCCUCUCUUCCACUCUCCGUUCUAGUCUGGAGACGCGCGGCGUAAAAUGGCAACACCGUCUUGUCUUUGGUCUCUGAUCUUGAUGCCAAGGUUGAUGGAUUAUGUGCUGAAAUCGGAUAGGAAGUCUAGAAACCCACCAAAUAAAAUCUGAGUUGUC